rnacentral:rRNA from 1 species
CCUACGGGAGGCAGCAGUGGGGAAUCUUCCGCAAUGGGCGCAAGCCUGACGGAGCAACGCCGCGUGAGUGAAGAAGGUCUUCGGAUCGUAAAGCUCUGUUGAAGGGGACGAACGUAUAUAGUGCGAAUAGUGCUGUGUAAUGACGGUACCUUUUGAGGAAGCCACGGCUAACUACGUGCCAGCAGCCGCGGUAAUACGUAGGUGGCGAGCGUUGUCCGGAAUCAUUGGGCGUAAAGGGAGCGCAGGCGGCCAUGUAAGUCUUGCUUAAAAGUUCGGGGCUCAACCCCGUGAUGGGCAAGAAACUAUAUGGCUUGAGUGCAGGAGAGGAAAGCGGAAUUCCCAGUGUAGCGGUGAAAUGCGUAGAUAUUGGGAGGAACACCAGUGGCGAAGGCGGCUUUCUGGAC